UGGCCUGGCUAUGCUAAUGUAACACAGGUCUGGCUAUGCUAAUAUAACACAGAUUUGGCUAUCUUAAUGUAACUCAGGCCUGGCUAUGCUAAUGUAGCACAGGACUGGCUAUGCUAAUAUAACACAGAUUUGGCUAUCUUUAUGUAACUCAGGCCUGGCUAUGCUAAUGUAACACAGGUCUGGCUAUGCUAAUAUAACACAGAUUUGGCUAUCUUAAUGUAACUCAGGCCUGGCUAUGCUAAUGUAACACAGGUCUGGCUAUCUUAAUGUAACUCAGGUCUGGCUAUGCUAAUAUAACACAGAUUGGGCUAUCUUAAUGUAACUCAGGCCUGGCUAUGCUAAUGUAGCAAAGGUCUGGCUAUGCUAAUAUAACACAGGUUUGGCUCACACGCAGCACCUUUUAAGGAGUUUCAUAUAAAAAAUCAGGGUAGUAUAAAAGAACACAGAAUCUUGUUAAUUGCAGGACAGGCACUGAGAUUAUAUCCAAACACGUACAAGCCUUUUAAAGCCAAAUUGCUUGUAUUAAAAAAUAUAUUUAAAUGUUUGAAUGUAUAUUUAAUUAACUGGUUGUGCAUCAGGGUUUCAUCUGAGCUAUUUAAUAAAUGGAUGAUAAAACAAAUUAAGUACAAACAUUUAAAAAGAGUUUAAAAAAAAAAAACUAAAAGUCAGUGUUCUUCCCUCAAGUAGCCAGACAUCCUGUUACCAUGGCUACUGAAGAACCACAGAACAAAACACAGGGAGACCCCACGAUCGAAGCAGGCGACAUUCAUUACGCUUCUCUGGGCCGUCAGAACUGGAGAGAGAGGCCGCACACUCAGGGCGAGAGACACCAUGUGAUCUACUCCACUGUGGCUGGAGGGCCAGUUUAGGCCAUGGUCAGAGGAGGACGGCACUACGUCCUCACAAAACGAUAACAACGUCCUCACAAAACGAUAACAAUGUCCUCACAAAACAAUAACAAUGUCUUCACAAAACAAUAACAACUUCCUUAUCACAC